ensembl:lncRNA
CUAGAAUAUACGAGGUUAUCAAACAGCUUAAAAGAAAAAAUGUGCAAGCAAAAUGUCUAUACCCAGCGAAGUUGAGAAUACAACUGGACACUGGAGAGAAGACCUUCGCAACAUUAACAGAGGCUGCGCAACAGUUGAAAGAGAUGGGAGUCGAAAUAGGUCGCGGUGAUGGACGGCACAUCGAAGAAGAGCUGAAAGAAGGUUGGAGAAACAACAGGAGAAGGCAAAGGGAGGCGGCGUUGUCGAUCUCGGACCUCAGGGUCCUCAUGCAGGAAGGACAUUAAAUUACCUAAACGUCAUAGUGAUUUGAAAGUGUGUGGAAAAGAGGGAGAAAAAAUAAAUGGAGACAAAAAAAGUGGCGACCCAAAUCAGUGUGGUGCAGAACGCACCAAGGAAACAUACAACUCUGCUGUUGAACGCCUCAAGACUGAAGAAAUGGGUGAUAUGGACCAAAGC